AUGGAAGGAAAAGGCUUCAAGAUAAUGAAUUGUCUUUUCCAGAAAGAAACCUAACCUUUAAAAAUGAUAGCCUUAACUGGGUGAUGAUGAGAUAACAUAUAAUCGAAUUUGAUGAGGAGAGAAUCAAGCAUGCAAGCUCUCUGAAUAAAUAAGUGAUGGUCAUAUAGUUCAAGGUUGUUAUUUUAUAGGGGGGGGGGGUGUCUGAAAAGCAAGGAAUGGUUUGAUUUAUCACUGCAGCAAAGUCCAGGGCAGUCAGCUGUUAAGGGGAAGAGAAUGGUUGCCAGUGUUCAAGCUUAGAAUUUGCUUCAGUGCUAGCAAGUAAGCAUCUUUUCUUUGAUCCAGUCUUUUAAAAAGAGGAGUUUAAAAGAUCUUGCAGCACAGAUAAGAACCGUUGUGAUUUUCUACACUCAAACUCCCUUUUUCUACUCAGUUGUUUCUCACAGCAGCUGAAGAAGGGACAAAGGAGGAUGACUCUGCAGGGAUGGAUCUAGAAAUGUAUGGAAGGGCUAGGAGCUGGCAAGAAUGCAGAAAUGCCGAACAGAGGAUUCCUAGCCACACCAUAGAAACCCCCUCCUUUGUGGAGAGCAUUGAUUCUCUACUCUGCAUUUUGGACCUGGAACCUGGACUACCUAGAAGACACGGAGGCAGGUGCAAAAAAGGACUCACCGCAAGAAGAUAGAAUAUGGCCCAGCCUCUGCACUCCUUGUCUUGGAACUACAACUGUUACACUCCCAUGAGUUAAGCAAGAUCUUAUUGUAUAAAUGGGGAUGUUUUUUAAUAGAGCAUUUCCUAGAUAUCUUUUAGCUUUUCUAUCUUUUAAAGGGUUUUAAAAGUUAAUUUAGGUGCUUUUUAACUUAUUGUUUUUGAGAACCACCUUUGGUUGUACAUGUUAUCUUUUUAAGUUUUAUAUUUAUUUUAAAGGGUAUUUAUUAUAAUUUUAACUAAGUAAGUGAAGUUUACAUAUCUGUGGAAUGUCCAGGGUGGAUAUCUGUGGAAUGUCCCACACCAUGGACAUUCCACAGAUGUGUAAACAUCACUUACUUAGUUUCCAACAGACCCCUCAACCUCUGAGGAUGCCUGCCAUGGAUGUGGGUGAAACGUCAGGAGAGAAUGCUUCUGGAACAUGGUCAUACAGCCUGGAAAACUCACAACCCAGUGAUUCCAGCCAUGAAAGCCUUUGACAACACAACUACUAAAGAGGUUAAUUUCUGAUUCUCAAAAAUGUUUCAUAGAAAUAAAUUGGCUAGUACCCAUA